rnacentral:tRNA from 1 species
GGGCACAUGGUGUAGUUGGUUAUCACGCCCGCUUAGCAUGCACGCUGUCUGCUUGCGGGAGGGGUUGGGUUCAAUUCCCAAUGUGUCCA